GACGAACGCUGGCGGCGUGCCUAAUACAUGCAAGUAGAACGCUGAAGGAGGAGCUUGCUUCUCUGGAUGAGUUGCGAACGGGUGAGUAACGCGUAGGUAACCUGCCUGGUAGCGGGGGAUAACUAUUGGAAACGAUAGCUAAUACCGCAUAAGAGUAGAUGUUGCAUGACAUUUGCUUAAAAGGUGCAAUUGCAUCACUACCAGAUGGACCUGCGUUGUAUUAGCUAGUUGGUGAGGUAACGGCUCACCAAGGCGACGAUACAUAGCCGACCUGAGAGGGUGAUCGGCCACGCUGGGACUGAGACACGGCCCAGACUCCUACGGGAGGCAGCAGUAGGGAAUCUUCGGCAAUGGACGGAAGUCUGACCGAGCAACGCCGCGUGAGUGAAGAAGGUUUUCGGAUCGUAAAGCUCUGUUGUAAGAGAAGAACGAGUGUGAGAGUGGAAAGUUCACACUGUGACGGUAUCUUACCAGAAAGGGACGGCUAACUACGUG
rnacentral:rRNA from 1 species